AUUGAACGCUGGCGGCAUGCCUAACACAUGCAAGUCGAACGGCAGCACAGUCUAGCUUGCUAGACGGGUGGCGAGUGGCGAACGGGUGAGUAACGCGUAGGAAUAUACCUUGAAGUGGGGGACAACCUGGGGAAACUCAGGCUAAUACCGCGUAAUCUCUUCGGAGGGAAGCUGGGGACCGCAUGGCCUGGCGCUUUAAGAUUAGCCUGCGUCCGAUUAGCUAGUUGGUGGGGUAAAGGCCUACCAAGGCGACGAUCGGUAGCUGGUCUGAGAGGAUGAUCAGCCACACUGGGACUGAGACACGGCCCAGACUCCUACGGGAGGCAGCAGUGGGGAAUAUUGGACAAUGGGGGGAACCCUGAUCCAGCAAUGCCGCGUGUGUGAAGAAGGCCUGAGGGUUGUAAAGCACUUUCGGCGGGGAGGAGGAUAAGUUGGUUAAGAGCUGACUUAUUGGACGUUACCCGCAUAAGAAGCACCGGCUAACUUCGUGCCAGCCGCCGCGGUAAGAC
rnacentral:rRNA from 1 species